GAUGAACGCUAGCUACAGGCUUAACACAUGCAAGUCGAGGGGAAACGAUAUUGGAAGCUUGCUUCCGAUAGGCGUCGACCGGCGCACGGGUGAGUAACGCGUAUCCAACCUGCCCAUCACUUGGGGAUAACCUUGCGAAAGUAAGACUAAUACCCAAUGACGUCUCUAGAAGACAUCUGAAAGAGAUUAAAGAUUUAUCGGUGAUGGAUGGGGAUGCGUCUGAUUAGCUUGUUGGCGGGGUAACGGCCCACCAAGGCGACGAUCAGUAGCCGGCCUGAGAGGGUGAACGGCCACAUUGGGACUGAGACACGGCCCAAACUCCUACGGGAGGCAGCAGUGGGGAAUAUUGCACAAUGGGGGAAACCCUGAUGCAGCCAAGUAGCGUGAAGGAUGAAGGUUCUAUGGAUUGUAAACUUCUUUUAUACGGGAUAAACGGAUCCACGUGUGGAUUUUUGCAUGUACCGUAUGAAUAAGGAUCGGCUAACUCCGUGCCAGCAGCCG
rnacentral:rRNA from 1 species